rnacentral:tRNA from 1 species
CGGGGUAUAGCUCAGUGGUAGGGUGCAUGCUUGGCGUGCACAAGGUCCUGGGUUCAAUCCCCAGUGCCUCCG